rnacentral:lncRNA from 1 species
GGGAGCGCUGCAACCGACCGGACAUCCCGGAGAACGAAUUCCUGUCGUUGCUUCCGAAUGAGCAAGGCCACCUUCGACACCAUCUGCCAGCAUUUCGACUAUGCCGUCACCAAAAAUAAACACCCAUGUGUAUUUAAACGCGUAUUUCCUCACGAGGGUAAAAGCGAGAUUUCAAGAUAAAUCACCUCAAAUCUUCACAUCUUAGCGGGUGAUCGAAAAAGUAAGAAUCUCACAAAUCCUUCCAAAUC